ACUCCUACGGGAGGCAGCAGUGGGGAAUAUUGCACAAUGGGGGAAACCCUGAUGCAGCCAUGCCGCGUGUGUGAAGAAGGCCUUCGGGUUGUAAAGCACUUUCAGUAGGGAGGAAGGUAGUGUAGUUAACACCUGCAUUAUUUGACGUUACCUACAGAAGAAGCACCGGCUAACUCCGUGCCAGCAGCCGCGGUAAUACGGAGGGUGCGAGCGUUAAUCGGAAUUACGUGGGUGUAAAGCGCAUGCAGGCGGCCUGUUAAGUCAGAUGUGAAAGCCCGGGGCUUAACCUCGGAAUUGCAUUUGAAACUGGCAGGCUAGAGUCUUGUAGAGGGGUUAGAAUUUCGAGGUGUAGCGGUGAAAUGCGUAGAGAUCUGAAGGAAUACCAGUGCGAAGCGGCCCCUGGACAAGACUGACGCUCAGAUGCGAAAGCGUGGGAGCAAACAGGAUUAGAUACCCCUGGUAGCGACUGA
rnacentral:rRNA from 1 species